UACGUAGGGUGCAAGCGUUGUCCGGAAUUAUUGGGCGUAAAGAGCUCGUAGGCGGUCUGUUGCGUCGGCUGUGAAAACCCGGGGCUCAACCCCGGGCCUGCAGCCGAUACGGGCAGACUAGAGUUCGGCAGGGGAGACCGGAAUUCCUGGUGUAGCGGUGAAAUGCGCAGAUAUCAGGAGGAACACCGGUGGCGAAGGCGGGUCUCUGGGCCGAUACUGACGCUGAGGAGCGAAAGCGUGGGGAGCAAACAGG
rnacentral:rRNA from 1 species